CAUCGGGUGGGCGAGGUGGUAGCCCUGGGCGUUGACGACGCCGAGGCGGGCCAGUUCGGACAGCUGUGCGGCGUUCUCGACACCUUCGGCGG
rnacentral:tRNA from 1 species